rnacentral:rRNA from 9 species
UUUUAUGGAGAGUUUGAUCCUGGCUCAGGAUGAACGCUGGCGGCGUGCCUAAUACAUGCAAGUCGAGCGAACGGACGAGAAGCUUGCUUCUCUGAUGUUAGCGGCGGACGGGUGAGUAACACGUGGAUAACCUACCUAUAAGACUGGGAUAACUUCGGGAAACCGGAGCUAAUACCGGAUAAUAUUUUGAACCGCAUGGUUCAAAAGUGAAAGACGGUCUUGCUGUCACUUAUAGAUGGAUCCGCGCUGCAUUAGCUAGUUGGUAAGGUAACGGCUUACCAAGGCAACGAUGCAUAGCCGACCUGAGAGGGUGAUCGGCCACACUGGAACUGAGACACGGUCCAGACUCCUACGGGAGGCAGCAGUAGGGAAUCUUCCGCAAUGGGCGAAAGCCUGACGGAGCAACGCCGCGUGAGUGAUGAAGGUCUUCGGAUCGUAAAACUCUGUUAUUAGGGAAGAACAUAUGUGUAAGUAACUGUGCACAUCUUGACGGUACCUAAUCAGAAAGCCACGGCUAACUACGUGCCAGCAGCCGCGGUAAUACGUAGGUGGCAAGCGUUAUCCGGAAUUAUUGGGCGUAAAGCGCGCGUAGGCGGUUUUUUAAGUCUGAUGUGAAAGCCCACGGCUCAACCGUGGAGGGUCAUUGGAAACUGGAAAACUUGAGUGCAGAAGAGGAAAGUGGAAUUCCAUGUGUAGCGGUGAAAUGCGCAGAGAUAUGGAGGAACACCAGUGGCGAAGGCGACUUUCUGGUCUGUAACUGACGCUGAUGUGCGAAAGCGUGGGGAUCAAACAGGAUUAGAUACCCUGGUAGUCCACGCCGUAAACGAUGAGUGCUAAGUGUUAGGGGGUUUCCGCCCCUUAGUGCUGCAGCUAACGCAUUAAGCACUCCGCCUGGGGAGUACGACCGCAAGGUUGAAACUCAAAGGAAUUGACGGGGACCCGCACAAGCGGUGGAGCAUGUGGUUUAAUUCGAAGCAACGCGAAGAACCUUACCAAAUCUUGACAUCCUUUGACAACUCUAGAGAUAGAGCUUUCCCCUUCGGGGGACAAAGUGACAGGUGGUGCAUGGUUGUCGUCAGCUCGUGUCGUGAGAUGUUGGGUUAAGUCCCGCAACGAGCGCAACCCUUAAGCUUAGUUGCCAUCAUUAAGUUGGGCACUCUAAGUUGACUGCCGGUGACAAACCGGAGGAAGGUGGGGAUGACGUCAAAUCAUCAUGCCCCUUAUGAUUUGGGCUACACACGUGCUACAAUGGACAAUACAAAGGGCAGCGAAACCGCGAGGUCAAGCAAAUCCCAUAAAGUUGUUCUCAGUUCGGAUUGUAGUCUGCAACUCGACUACAUGAAGCUGGAAUCGCUAGUAAUCGUAGAUCAGCAUGCUACGGUGAAUACGUUCCCGGGUCUUGUACACACCGCCCGUCACACCACGAGAGUUUGUAACACCCGAAGCCGGUGGAGUAACCUUUUAGGAGCUAGCCGUCGAAGGUGGGACAAAUGAUUGGGGUGAAGUCGUAACAAGGUAGCCGUAUCGGAAGGUGCGGCUGGAUCACCUCCUUUCUAA